UUUCCUCCCUGUCCUCCCUGGAUUCCCUUUGGGACUCCCUCAAUGAGUCAGCCACCGAGGAGGACAUUCCCAAUGUUCAAUGAGGACGAAGGAAAAGGCGAGGAGGAGACGACCGCAAGACGGCUGGAUCUCCUCAGCCCUGACUGGGUUCCAAGUAUGUCACCAUUUUCGAGUGUUUCC